rnacentral:rRNA from 1 species
CAGUAGCCACGGGAAUACGUAGGUGGCAAGCGUUAUCCGGAAUUAUUGGGCGUAAAGCGCGCGUAGGCGGUUUUUUAAGUCUGAUGUGAAAGCCCACGGCUCAACCGUGGAGGGUCAUUGGAAACUGGAAAACUUGAGUGCAGAAGAGGAAAGUGGAAUUCCAUGUGUAGCGGUGAAAUGCGCAGAGAUAUGGAGGAACACCAGUGGCGAAGGCGACUUUCUGGUCUGUAACUGACGCUGAUGUGCGAAAGCGUGGGGAUCAAACAGGAUUAGAUACCCCUGUAGUCCCUGUCUCUUAUAC